rnacentral:rRNA from 1 species
AUUGAACGCUGGCGGCAGGCCUAACACAUGCAAGUCGAGCGAGCGGCGGACGGGUGAGUAAUAUCUGGGAAACUGCCUGAUGGAGGGGGCUACCGCCUGGAAACGGUAGUACAUCCCGCAUACCAUCAGAUCUGCCUAGUUGGGAUUAGCUAGUAGGUGGGGUAACGGCUCACCGAGGCGACGAUCCCUAGCUGGUCUGAGAGGAUGACCAGCCACACUGGAACUGAGACACGGUCCAGACUCCUACGGGAGGCAGCAGUGGGGAAUAUUGCACAAUGGGCGCAAGCCUGAUGCAGCCAUGCCGCGUGUGUGAAGAAGGCCUUCGGGUUGUAAAGCACUUUAAGCGGGGAGGCGUUACCCGCAGAAGAAGCACCGGCUAACUCCGUGCCAGCAGCCGCGGUAAUAC